AUAGACCUAAACCUACACCCUAAGAGAUCUAGACAGCCGCCAUCUAAAAAACUACACAAACCAGCGUGCAUCCUCGCCAAGAAGGGAACGACCUUACUUUGCUUUCUUCUUCAUCUGGAGUACGCCUAAAAACCAGCGAAUUCCAUCGCUCACACGCACACGAAAAGAAAUAGAGACAGAAUCUUUCACAUUACAAGCUAAUCAAGUGGAUGAAAUUUGAAUUUCUUGUCUAGUCAAUUAGCAAGGAAUCAUUGAGAAGAUAUGUGUCUAUGCAAAUGAAAAUUGCAUCCAAGGGUUGUUAUUAGAUUUAGAUUCAAAAAAUAGGAAAAAUGACAAUAUUUGGAUAGAUAACGGCGUGGAGAUAUAGCUAGGCAAUUGCAUUUGUCCAUUUCCAAGUUAGAAGAAACUUAAAAGAAAAAAGAGGGGAAGAAACGAUAGAGUCUUGUGCCCCGAUUUGAUUGAGGUUGGUUUGUAUUUCGAGUGUUCCGGUGUUGAUUCGAGGUUUCAGUUCGCAAAUGGUUGUUUCAGUCCAAGAACUGUUGAUUUGCAAUUUUCGGCUUUGUUCAUCAAUAAAAGGUUCAUUUCUUAAUUUUCAUUUUCAUUUCAUUUUGUUACAAUAACUUGGUGUUUGUAAUGGUUGAUUUGUGAUUCUCUAUUGUUUGAGUUACAUGUCUUAAUUUUCAUAUAAAUUGUUUAAUUAGUUUUUAGUUCGAUUGUGAUGUGUACACUCUUGGUUAUUGAACAAAUGCUUUUAAUUAGGUAGAUAAAAAAUAAUAGUUGUUUCUUUCUUGGCAAGGAAUAAGAAUGGGUCACAAGGUGGGUGUUGGACUAUAAGGAAUCUAACAAAGUAAUAGAUCAUGUUGGCUAGCCUAUUUUCUCCCCAAUAAUAUCUUGUCCAUAAAUUUGGCAUCACAACAAUCUUAAAGGUUAGGAAAAUAAUUAAAAUGCGCUAAUUGCUUUAGGCGCGUAACUUAAAUUAAUUUUAUUAAACUCGUGUGUGCAUUUAUGUGACCCAAAUCUAAAUCCCAACGAUACUAAAAUAUGUCAAAAAUCAUGGGGUGCAUUAAUGUGACGUGGUUCGAGAUGUGUUUUAGAAAUGUUGCAAUUUUCUUAAAAAUUAAAUAAAAGUGGUUUAAAAGGGAUAAAUGCACAUAGGCUUAACAUGUAUUAAAAUCAUAUUUUUAGCCCAAUAUAAUAGCUGUGCGACCGUGCUAGAACCACGGAACUCGAGAGUGCCUAAUACCUUGUCACGGGUUAACAAAAUUCCUUAAUUAGAUUUCUGGUUCGCUGACUGUUAACAGAGUUAAACUUUCCUCGAUUCGGGAUUCAAACCGGUGACUUGGGACACCAUUAAUUAUUUCAAGUGGCGACUCUAAAUUAUUUAAAUAAAUAAUCAUGUUUCAAUUGUCACUUCAAGUUGGAAAUAACUCCCUUUCUACGCCCUUCUCGGGAGUGUAGUAUAAAAAGGAGGUGUGACAGCUCUGGCGACUCUGCUGGUGACUAAUGAUUAAAACUACCUCCUAUUAUUCAGGUGAGUCCUGACAAUUCUUGUUGACUAUUGCUGGGGAAGUAUCUAAUCUAAGUCCCAUUUUUCAGGAGGGCCCUGAUGACUCUUGCUGACUUAGCUGGGGAAAUUUGAAAUUUUCCCUCUAAAUCCCAUUUUUAGGAGGGUCCUAAUGACUCUUCUUGGUUCUUAUUGACUCUAGCAUGGGGAAUAUUUUCUCUAAGUCGCAUUUUUCGGGAGGGUCCUGAUGACCUUAAUUGACUCUUGUUGACUCCGGUUGGGGAGAUUUUUGCUCUAAGUCCCAUUUUUCAGGAGGGUCAUAAUGAUUCUUAUUGCUUCUUGUUAGGGAAAUAUCUAAUCUAAGUCCUCUUUUUUCAGGGAGAUCCUGAUGAUUCUUGUUGACUCUGGUUGGGGAAGUGUUUGGGUUUGACCAUGCCACCAAACUGUUUGUGUCCUAAGCUAAGCUCCAUUUUCCAGGAGCAUCCUGACAACUCCUAACUGAAUCCUACUUCAACAUGCAAGUCAUUUUAUGCCAUUUGUUAUCCAUGAUUAUUCCUAACCUUAAAAUGAGUCCCAUUUUCCAGGAGGGUCCUGAAGGUUCCAACUUAAAUGUCAAUUAUAACUUCUGGUUGUUUCUGCUAAUGAUUAUCGUCCAGAAGGGUUUCUGCGACUCUUACUGGGGAAAGUAUUGGUGCUUGCCCAUGUUACCCGUACCUGUUUGAGUUCCAAACAGUGUUCCAUCUCAACUUCUAUGCUUCUUUUAACUCUCGAUUGUUCCUAAAAGUUUGUCCCCUUGUGCUCUUUGCUGGGGAGGGUGUUUAUGAUGGACUAUGUCCCUUUUGAGUUUGAACUGGAUCCCAUUUUCAUAUGGGCCCUAAGGUUUUGAUCAUACCUUCCAUGUGCCUGCUUUACCACAUGGAUGGCAUCCCUUAGGCUCUUCUAGAAUUUUUCUGCGAUGUGUCAAUCAAGGAAAACUAGUCAGUUUGAAAAAUGGUGGUUAGUUUGCGUCAUUCUUCAUGGAAGCGGCCUCCUCACUGUCAUGUUCCGUUGUGUUCAAAUUUCCAUGUUGAUGAUGGGUUUCCUGAGUUGGUUGGCUGACCCCUGGACCUUUAUGGCUUUACUUUGCUCGCCCAUUAUUUUACAUUCCUAGCCCUUUUGCCAUAAUUCUUGCACUUUUCUCGAGAUUACCAAGUCAAUGUAUUAUUCUUGGCUGACCCUCUGACCCUUGUGGAUUUACUCUACUCCUCUAUCUUUGUGUUGUACUUUCGACCCUCUUUCUAGAACUCUUACACUUUUCCUAAGAUUGUUGAUCAGUUUAUUAUGCUUGGCUAACCUUUGUGGCAUUUCUCAUCUUUGUGUUGCACUCCUUCACUUGCCACGAUAACUUUGAUUUCACCUUAAAAGAAAUUGUUGUAUUAUUGGCUAACCAAUUUCUCUGUUACCCUUAUCGUAGAAAAUACCUCUUCUCUGUUCAGACCCAGUAUCCUCUAUUUGUUGCAUUGCUAAUGAACUGACAUCUUCCCAACCUUUGUGUCCCACAUGAAUCCUAUAGCACGUUCAUCGCCCCCCCACUUCGUGUGUAUGCCAUUUUUAUUAACUCAAACCACUGGCCUUGACCUUGAGGUCUGUUGCUCUUUCACUUGUCAUGAUGAUUGAUUUUCAUUUGAAGACCAUGUUUGCCCCUUGACUAACCGCUUCCUUUGUAAACCUUAACCCAGAAAAUACAUCUUCUCCUUUAAACCCAAUACCUUUCAUUUGCUGCAUUGUUCCUGAAACGACACCUGCCAAACCAUUGUGUUUCACCUGAUUCCCAAAGCAUAUUUACCAACCACAUUGUAUAUGAUGUUAUUUCCAGACCUAACUCACUGGCUCUAACCUUGAGGUUUAUUGCUUCAUCGCUAGCCAUGAUAACUUUGAUUUCUUCUUGGAAGAUCUUGCUUGACACUGGUUUACCAACCUUCUUGUCACAGAAAACACAUUUGAUCCAUUCACCCUAGCCCUCAUUCUGCUGCGUUGUCCAUGAUUUGAUAUAUAAUAAGCCUUUGUAUUUCAACGAAUCCCAAAGCAUGUUAAUUGUUACCAGCUCAGUGUGCUUGUUGUUCUUUCCUGACUUAUGAUGCUUUGAUGUGACAAACAGGUCCCUUUUUGUGCAAUUGGAAAGCUGUUGGCAGAUAUUGAAGUCGUUUCUCACUUGUUAUGACCAGAUAGACUCAGAAGAGGGAAUAAACAAUAAAAAAGGAACAUAGUAGAGGACGAUGAAAGGAGAUGAUUCCUAACAAAAAAAACUAAAAAGUAGAAACCUAUAAAAUGCGGGUACCAACUCUAAUGACCAUGACAUGCACCUGCG
rnacentral:lncRNA from 1 species